UAAAAAUCGAUUUUUUUUUAGCCUAUGUUACCUCUAGGGAAGUCAGGAGUUUCCUCAAAAUAUUUUAGCCGUUUAGCCAUUGUAAAAUUACAGUGUUUACUUGUCUGUUUAACUCUGUCUUAUUGUUUUUGUGACGUUUGUUUAGGAGCCUGCCCAUCUAGUCGUCUUCGAUUUUGCAUUUCUCAGAGAAACCUACUUUGACGGGGCAUUCGGAGUUCUUCAGAAGGAGAACAGAACUUCAGAGCUGUAGCUUUUUAAAUGAAUUAACUGUGUUGAGACAAUUCUGAGGAUUUUCUAGUUGGGCUUUCUUGUAAAUAUUACUGUUUAGUUAAAAAUAAAUUAUAUUAAAUAAUAAAUAAUUGAACAAAUUGUA